rnacentral:rRNA from 1 species
AAUCGACGCUAUUGUCGCGACCCCAGGUCAGGCGGGAUU